UCCCUGGUGGUCCAGUGGUUAAGACUUUGCUUCCAAAGCAGGAAGUACAGGCUCAAUCCCUGGUCAGGGAG
rfam:TPA: Bos taurus chromosome 7, whole genome shotgun sequence.